rnacentral:rRNA from 1 species
UGGGGAAUCUUGCACAAUGGGGGCAACCCUGAUGCAGCGACGCCGCGUUAGCGAUGAAGGUUUUCGAAUCGUAAAGCUCUGUCCUAUGGGAAGAUAAUGACGGUACCAUAGGAGGAAGCCCCGGCUAACUACGUGCCAGCAGCCGCGGUAAUACGUAGGGGGCGAGCGUUGUCCGGAAUUACUGGGCGUAAAGGGUUCGCAGGCGGCAUGGCAAGUCCGAUGUAAAAGGCGAAGGCUCAACCUUCGUAAGCAUCGGAAACUGUCAAGCUUGAGUGAAGGAGAGGCAAGUGGAAUUCCUGGUGUAGAGGUGGAAUGCGUAGAUAUUAGGAGGAAUACCGGUGGCGAAGGCGACUUGCUGGACUUCAACUGACACUGAGGAACGAAAGCGUGGGUAGCAAACAGG